GGUGCCAUAGUCUAGAGGUAGGACGCAACAUUGUGGUCAUUCUACAAUUGCUGUUGAAGCCGGAGUUCGAUUCUCCUUGGCGCCA